CACUUACAAAACAUGCACUCUCACUGACAAACACACACUCACUAACAGACACCAAACACACUAACAGACACACACUCAGUAACAGACACACACACACAGUAACACACUCACUGACACUAGCAGACACAAAUUCAAUAGCAGACACACACACACACACUGACACACAAAAACUAACACACUCACUAGCAGACACACACUCAAUAACAGACACACACUAACACACAACCAACACACUUAGUAACAGACACACAUACAGUAAC